rnacentral:misc_RNA from 1 species
GAUGAAGAACGCAGUGAAAUGCGAUACGUAGUGUGAAUUGCAGAAUUCAGUGAAUCAUCGAAUCUUUGAACGCACAUUGCACCUCUCGGUAUUCCGGGAGGUAUGCCUGUUCGAGCGUCAUUUGUACCCUCAAGCUCUGCUUGGUGAUGGGUGUUUGUUCCGCCUCUGUGUGUGAACUCGCCUCAAAACAAUUGGCAGCCGGCGUACUUGUUUCGGAGCGCAGCACAUUUUGCGAUCCAGAUCAACGUACAGCGGCAUCCAAGAAGCCUUAUUUAACGCUCUUGACCUCGGAUCAGGUAGGGAUACCCGCUGAACUUAAGCAUAUCAAUAAGCGGAGGA